GCCCCGAUGGCCCAAUGGACACGGCACCGGUCUACGACACCGGAGAUCGAGGUUCGACUCCUCGUCGGGGCA
rnacentral:tRNA from 1 species